AUUGAACGCUGGCGGCAGGCCUAACACAUGCAAGUCGAACGAGUGGCGGACGGGUGAGUAAUGUCUGGGAAACUGCCCGAUGGAGGGGGAUAACUACUGGAAACGGUAGCUAAUACCGCAUACUCUCGGAUGUGCCCAUAUGGGCUUAGCUAGUAGGUGGGGUAACGGCUCACCUAGGCGACGAUCCCUAGCUGGUCUGCGAGGAUGACCAGCCACACUGGAACUGAGACACGGUCCAGACUCCUACGGGAGGCAGCAGUGGGGAAUAUUGCACAAUGGGCGCAAGCCUGAUGCAGCCAUGCCGCGUGUAUGAAGAAGGCCUUCGGGUUGUAAAGUACUUGCAGCGAGGAGGCGUUACUCGCAGAAGAAGCACCGGCUAACUCCGUGCCAGCAGCCGCGGUAAUAC
rnacentral:rRNA from 1 species